rnacentral:lncRNA from 1 species
UCAAACAUGUGACAACAUUAAGCACCCUGGUAGAGGCAAGAUUUGCCAGGCGGCUCUCACAUACCCCUGCCUCCCACAAUACUACCCCCGCCUCCCAUGAUAUGAUGAGAUGACAAGGCACUUUACCUCUGCAUUAUACUCCACAAAACCCGUAAUCCCAGACAAUCAUGAGAAAACAUCAGACAAACCCAGAUCAGCAGACAUUCUACAAAACACCGAGUCCUUCCCAACACUGUCCACGGAAUGAAAAACAAGGAAAAUCUAAGAAAUGGUCACAGACGAGAGAAGACUACAAGAGGCAUGAUGACUGAAUGCAAGGGUCUCACUCUGCUGUCCAAGCUGGAGUGUGGUGGUGCCAUCAUGACUCACUGCAGCCUUGGCCUCCCAGGCUCAAGCGAUCCUCCUGCCUCGGCCUCCAGAGUCUCUGGGACUACAGGAGUCUCACUCUUUCGCUGAGGCUGGCUUGCAAUGGCACGACCUCAGCUCACUACAACCUCUGCCUUCUGAGUUCAAGCGAUUCUCCUGCCUCAGCCUCCCAAGUAGCUGGGAUUACAGGAGAAAAGACUGCAGAACCACACAAGGCUCACGCUGCCCAGGGAGAACGUCAUCUCAGUUCCCAUAUGAGUCCCGAUGAAAAUAUGACAGAGAAAUUCUGUCCUGGACCACGAGCAUCUUUUCAUCUUCGUAUCCUAGCAGCCAGCAGGCACUUGGUGAAGAGGCUGCUCAACGAAUAUACAGUGACGGUUUUACGGGACAAGAGUUACCUGAGGAACAACUAAAUCUGCCCCAUCAAGCAAUUCUUGACAGAGUGUUGUCACCACACAGAAUCCUCAGUUUGAAACUAACACAAACUGAAAUGUGCAAAACUGAAUCUGUUUCUUUGGGGAGCACAAACCAGUAGAGCUUCUAUGUGAUAAAGGAAGAUGCUGCAGUUUGACCGAGUUUGCCAAGGAGAAGAUGUCCCUGGGACACUGAGCUACUUUUUUACACAUACAGGUCAAGGGUCCACGUGUGGUCCUUACUGGGCGCCCCCUAUUCUGCCCCGUGUGGGAAGCAUGUGACUUGAUGCUGUACAUGUAAAACAUGGUUUCUGCUCUUAAGAAGUUUACAGGCCAGCAGGGAAUGGUAAAAUGCGUGAGGAAGAACCCCUAGGCUGGGCGCGGUGGCUCACACCUGUAAUCCCAGUACUUUGGGAGGCCGAGGCCAGUGCAUCACCUGAGGUCAGGAGUUCAAGACCAGCCUGGCCAACAUGCUGAAACCCUGUCUCUACUAAAAAUACAAGAAUUAGCCGGGCGUGGUGGCACGUGCCUAUUACCCCAGCUACUCAGGAGGCUGAGGCUGGAGAAUUGCUUGAACCCAGGAGAAGGAGGUUUCAGUGAGCCGAGAUCGUGCCACUGCACUCAGGCUGGGCAACAAGAGCAAAACUCCGUCUCAAAAAAAAAAAAAAAAAGAAAGAAAGAAAAAAAAAACCCCCGCAACUCCAGGUGGAUUGGCACUGACUACUGAGCACACCAUACAUGUGCAAAGGAAGAAAAAGGGCUGUGAUGAAGUGAGGCAAGCUGGGGCCUCAACUGGCUGCAUCUGGAAUUUCAACAGCAAGACAAGAAUGGACUAGACAGACCAGUGUUCUCACCCACUGUUUCCAUGAUCACUCUCACAACAGAAAAAUAAAAUUGACAAGAAAAAUUACUCAAGAAUAAGGCUGGGUAUGGUGGCUCGCGCCUGUAAUGCUGGCAUUCUGGGAGGCCGAGGCAGGAGGAUCACUUGAGGCCAGGGGUUUCAGACCAGCCCGGGCAACAAAGCAAAUCCCUGUCUCUACAAAAAAAUAAAUUUAAGUUAGCCAAGCGUGGUGGAGUGCAUCUGUAGUCUAAGAUACUUGGGAGGUCAACGCAGGAGGAUCACCUCAGGCCAGGAGUUCAAGACCAGCCUGGGCAACUCCAUCUCUAC